rnacentral:rRNA from 1 species
GACGAAGGAUGCAAGCGUUAUCCGGAUUCAUUGGGUUUAAAGGGAGCGUAGGUGGUCUUAUAAGUCAGUGGUGAAAUCUCUGGGCUUAACCCAGAAAUUGCCAUUGAUACUGUAGGACUUGAGUACAGUUGCCGUUGGCGGAAUAUGACAUGUAGUGGUGAAAUACAUAGAGAUGUCAGGAGGAACACCGAUGGCGAAGGCAGGUCUCUGGGCCGAUACUGACGCUGAGGAGCGAAAGCGUGGGGAGCGAACAGG